AAAUAUGGUGGUGAGAGGAAGCCCCGUGGCUGGCAGUGGGAGGAGAUGGUACUACCAAAUAUGGUGGUGAGAGGAAGCCCCGUGGCUGGCAGUGGGAGGAGAUGGUACUACCAAAUAUGGUGGUGAGAGGAAGCCCCGUGGCUGGCAGUGGGAGGAGAUGGUACUACCAAAUAUGGUGUUGAGAGGAAGCCCCGUGGCUGGCAGUGGGAGAAGGUAAACUGACAUUCUGACAAUUUUCUCAUUGAUGAAACAUUUCAUCUCAAUACAGUAUUCUGUUCCCCAAACUAGAAAUUGUUAGGAACAGACUGGACUAAGUUUUGUGGACUUUACCCUUUGCCAAAGUUUUUUUUUUAAUUCCGUUGUUUAGGAGUCAAAGGCACAUUUUUGUUGCUGCACACGCACACUUCAGAGUAGGCGUUCCCUAAUGGAUAUAUGCAAAUGCACGCUAGAACGCGCCAAUAGGAUCUCGCUAGCUCGUGCUUGGCUCUGCCCAGGUUGCUUGUUCAGCCCAAUAUGACUCAUUUGUUCCCAUUGGACACGACAGUCUGUAGUCUAUCUUGGGUUAGUUAUAAAACACUCUUUGGUGAUAGGGUCUGUUCUUCUUUUGUCUGACUGGGUCUGUCUGUACGUAGCGAUGCUAGCAAGCCCAAGUAGGUAACAGUGAUGUGUGUGUCUGUACGUAGCGAUGCUAGCAAGCCCAAGUAGGUAACAGUGAUGUGUGUCUGUACGUAGCGAUGCUAGCAAGCCCAAGUAGGUAACAGUGAUGUGUGUCUGUACGUAGCGAUGCUAGCAAGCCCAAGUAGGUGACAGUGAUGUGUGUCUGUACGUAGCGAUGCUAGCAAGCCCAAGUAGGUAACAGUGAUGUGUGUCUGUACGUAGCGAUGCUAGCAAGCCCAAGUAGGUAACAGUGAUGUGUGUCUGUACGUAGCGAUGCUAGCAUGCCCAAGUAGGUAACAGUGAUGUGUGUCUGUACGUAGCGAUGCUAGCAAGCCCAAGUAGGUAACAGUGAUGUGUGUCUGUACGUAGCGAUGCUAGCAAGCCCAAGUAGGUAACAGUGAUGUGUGUCUGUACGUAGCGAUGCUAGCAAGCCCAAGUAGGUAACAGUGAUGUCUGUCUGUACGUAGCGAUGCUCUGAAGCUACUGUAUAGGUUAGGGUCUCUGUUUCUACUGUAUGGAUUAGGGUCUCUGUCUCUACUCUAUGGGUUAGGGUCUCUGUCUCUACUGUAUGGGUUAGGGUCUCUGUUUCUACUGUAUGGGUUAGGGUCUCUGUUUCUACUGUAUGGGUUAGGGUCUCUGUCUCUACUGUAUGGGUUAGGGUCUCUGUUUCUACUGUAUAGGUUAGGGUCUCUGUUUCUACUGUAUGGAUUAGGGUCUCUGUCUCUACUCUAUGGGUUAGGGUCUCUGUCUCUACUGUAUGGGUUAGGGUCUCUGUUUCUACUGUAUGGGUUAGGGUCUCUGUUUCUACUGUAUGGGUUAGGGUCUCUGUUUCUACUGUAUGGGUUAGGGUCUCUGUUUCUACUGUAUGGGUUAGGGUCUCUGUUUCUACUGUAUGGGUUAGGGUCUCUGUCUCUACUGUAUGGGUUAGGGUCUCUGUCUCUACUGUAUGGGUUAGGGUCUCUGUCUCUACUGUAUGGGUUAGGGUCUCUGUUUCUACUGUAUGGGUUAGGGUCUCUGUUUCUACUGUAUGGGUUAGGGUCUCUGUCUCUACUGUAUGGGUUAGGGUCUCUGUUUCUACUGUAUGGGUUAGGGUCUCUGUCUCUACUGUAUGGGUUAGGGUCUCUGUUUCUACUGUAUGGGUUAGGGUCUCUGCCUCUACUGUAUGGGUUAGGGUCUCUGUUUCUACUGUAUGGGUUAGGGUCUCUGUCUCUACUGUAUGGGUUAGGGUCUCUGUCUCUACUGUAUGGGUUAGGGUCUCUGUCUACUGUAUAGGUUAGGGUCUCUGUCUCUACUCUAUGGGUUAGGGUCUCUGUCUACUGUAUGGGUUAGGGUCUCUGUCUCUACUCUAUGGGUUAGGGUCUCUGUCUACUGUAUAGGUUAGGGUCUCUGUCUCUACUGUAUGGGUUAGGGUCUCUGUUUCUACUGUAUGGGUUAGGGUCUCUGUCUCUACUGUAUGGGUUAGGGUCUCUGUCUCUACUGUAUGGGUUAGGGUCUCUGUCUACUGUAUAGGUUAGGGUCUCUGUCUCUACUCUAUGGGUUAGGGUCUCUGUCUACUGUAUGGGUUAGGGUCUCUGUCUCUACUCUAUGGGUUAGGGUCUCUGUCUACUGUAUAGGUUAGGGUCUCUGUCUCUACUGUAUGGGUUAGGGUCUCUCUAAAGCUACUGUAUAGGUUAGGGUCUCUGUCUCUACUCUAUGGGUUAGGGUCUCUGUCUCUACUCUAUGGGUUAGGGUCUCUGUUUCUACUGUAUGGGUUAGGGUCUCUGUUUCUACUGUAUGGGUUAGGGUCUCUGUUUCUACUGUAUGGGUUAGGGUCUCUGUUUCUACUGUAUGGGUUAGGGUCUCUGUUUCUACUGUAUGGGUUAGGGUCUCUGUUUCUACUGUAUGGGUUAGGGUCUCUGUUUCUACUGUAUGGGUUAGGGUCUCGGUCUCUACUGUAUGGGUUAGGGUCUCUGUCUCUACUGUAUCGGUUAGUCUCUGAAUCUACUCUAUGGGUUAGGGUCUCUGCCUCUACUGUAUGGGUUAGGGUCUCUGUCUCUACUGUAUGGGUUAGGGUCUCUGUCUCUACUGUAUGGGUUAGGGUCUCA